GCAGAAUCCCGUGAACCAUCGAGUUUUKGAACGCAAGUUGCGCCCGAAGCCAUUAGGCCGAGGGMAACGUCUGCCUGGGCGUCACAC
rnacentral:rRNA from 1 species